AGAACAGCCCCUGUGCCAUGGAGCCAGCCUCGGGGGAGCCACCAAAGCUGUAUCCUGGUGUGCUGGAGAAGGGCUGCUGGCCUCAGCCUGGGCUCUGUCCUGCCCCCCAGCCUCAUGGGGGGCAGGUAAGGGGUCCCAAGCUGCUUUGGGGUGAGGCCAGCACAAGCCCAUUCCUUGCAUUGCACCACCUUGCAAGGAUAUGCUUGAUUCUGCACCAGAAAUACUCCAGGAGAUGGGUGACAGCAUCUGAGUGCAGACACUGGAAGGAGGCGAUGCCAACAGGACAUGGUAAGAGGAGAAAGGAGCCUGGGAAUGGUCACGGUAGCAAGUGUUGUCCCAAGCAUGAUGCGUUUUGAAGUUUCUCAAGAGGCCCCAGCCGCUCUUCCAAGGUUUGCAUUAAAUCUGUCACAUUAGUGAAAGUAGUGAGAAUUGUGGCUUGUGGAGAUGAAAGGCAGCCCCCUUCCAGCCCUCCAUAAAGAAAGGACCCCCUUAACACCUAGUGAAAUAUUAGCCAUUAAUCAGGCUCCAUGAAAAUAAAACCAUCCACAUCUAUCAUUAUUGGAUCCUUAAUGAAGUGAUAAUGGGAAUGCUGGGGAGCUGUGAUAUUAAUGUCUCCUAAGAGGCAAGAGCAGAGCCAAGGGCUGCAGCCAGGAUUUUUAAUUUACUGCCAAAAGCCCAUGCUGUUAAUAAUGCUGUUACUUCUCCUGGCCAUUAGCACUGUUUGGCUGUGAGCAGCCCACUUAGGAGAGCAAAUCAACCCCAAACACACCUGUGAUUUACUCCCCUGCUCCCUGCCCAGCAGUGGGUGUGCUUUUCCCCAGUGGUAGUCCCUGUAUCCCCUGCCAGGGAGCUGUUGGCCAUCCUCACCCAUCUCCCUCCUUCCUGGAGGCUGGCUGGUGGAGAAUAUUGCCCUUACAUUAAAGAGGGAAGGGAUUGAGAGCAUCCAAACCAAGCAGCUCUUACUGUCUUCACUGUGUCUGUGACUUGUCUCCCUAGGCACAAGCACAUCGGAGCAGGGAUGGCAUGGAGCUGGUUUCAGCAUGGCCUGCAUGCUGGAACCCCUCAUUGUGUGUAACCAUAGUUGCACUUCAUGUUUCAUUUGCCUGGAUAUGCUCACAUGAUGCCAAUAUCCCAUCCAGGACAGUGCAGCAAGCCCGAAGCCCUGUUCAGCUGCUGUGACUCAGUCAAGUUCCCAAUGGGAAGCUCAUUGCUCCUCCAGGCUCUGACAGCCCAGAGUCAAAUCAUCACUUGGCAGGCAGUUGGAAAACAACACCGUGGAAGCUCACAGCACACAUGCUGCUGGCACAGAGGAUCUCCCAACAGGGAUCAGCAGGGAUGAUGUUCCUGCAGAGAGAAGGACCCCCCUCAGCUGGCUUGCUGCUGAAAAUCAGCUAUCCCCAUCCUUGUGCUGCACAGUGAAGGGUCCUAAUUAAAUGCAUCUGGAUAUCUGCAGAGGGACCUCUCAGGAUCAUUCCAUGGCUCUAAUUAAAAUGGCCUGGAUGUCCAUGACAUUGGUGCCUGUCAAUCCUGUCACCAGGAGGUGAUGCCCACCUUGGAACUGGCUGAAGAAGGCAUAGGAGUUGUUGCUGCUAAGGAAAGCCUCCACAUCAAGGCCCUCCCGCAAUGCCUCAGUCACCAGCUCUGGGCUGCAGAAAGCUCCUGCUGCCUCCGUUGGCCCAUCCUGCCCAUCUGUUCCACCGCUGAGGAAGAAGAUCUCGCACCUCUGUGGGGAGCUGCUGGCUUCCAUGGUCUGUGCCUUGUGCAGCCCCAGCCCCACUCGCAGGACCAGCUCCUGGUUCCUCCCUCCCUUGCCGGUUCCUUGGAGCUGGACUGUGGUUUCUCCACCAGCCAGGAUGCACACUGGUGUUUUAGACCCCAAUCCUCGCAGGGCCUCUAGAAAUUCAGCAAGGUUCAAACCUGGGAUCUGUAGCUCUGCCACCAGCUGCAGGAGAUCCUGCCUCACCUCAUCACUCUGGGGCCCUUCUCCGAGGCCGGCAAAGCCCAGGCAGAGCAGCUGGAUGAGCUGGCAGUACAGCAUGGCAACACGGCCAACGUCCCCACACACUGCUGCGCUCAGAACCAGCGUGGUGUAGCCCAGGCCCUCAGCUUGGCGUUUGGCCUCGUCUAGAGCCAGCCUGUUUGACCCGAUGAUGAUGUUGCAAACGUGGGAGAAGUCUUCUGGAGCAGUGGGCUUGGUGGGAGAGCUGGACAGGACCGUUUCCACUGACUUGGGCAGACUGUGCAGCAGGUUGUAUUUGGUGAGUAUCUGAAGGCAGUCUUGGACAGUGUGGGAGCUGGCAGCAGUGGGGCCGCUUGCUAUGAUGUCCAGGGGGUCACCAAUCACAUCAGAAAGGAUGAGGCUCACCACCUACAAAAAGAAAUGCCCACAGAUUCUUGUGGGAGGCAGAGCAUGCAAGAGCCCUGCCAUAAGUGCUGCUCUGAGUUACACUUGUGCCACCCUCAUGUCAAAGUAGAUGGAAAUGGGUAGAUGUUGGACCAUUUCUGGUUUAUGGUCCUGUGAGUGUCACCUUGCCCUUGAACCCACAACUCUACAACAUCCUUUGAAGCUGGACCAUCACGUUGAAAAAUGUAACCCGUGACACUGCACUUAUCAGCGCACUUACAGCCUAGUGUGGGUUCAGCUGAGAACAGCCCCUAGGGAGUGCCAUGUUGGACUCUGUGGUGGAGCACCAGCACACUGGAAGUGCCUGCUGCAGGAGGGCUGGGGUCUGCUGAGAGUGGUGUGAUGGGACAGCCAACACAUGCCAAGUCUGACAUUUGCCUCUUCCAUCUCUGUCUUCCUAAGAGUUUGGGUCCUUGGUGAAAUCUGAGCCACAGUACCCAAACAGUGUGUAAAGGCUGUUCACUCAGUGAGGAGAAAACCCCCCCAGUGCUUAGGUCAGUUGAUUAAACCCCUAUUUUAGGGGCCGAUGGGUGAUCCCUGGGCAAGCAGGGGCUUCUUCUCCAUUACCUGUGCAGGAUAUGAGAGCCGGGCCAGCCCUCCACCCUUCAGCAAGGAGAGAGUCUUCCGGACAACAUUCAGCUCCUGUAUGGCAGCUCCUUGGGAAGCCAGCAUCUUUGUGAGUUUCUCCUUCUCUUUGAGGAGGAUGGGAGGGAUGGGAGCAGGCAGUAGGGCUGAUCCACCCCCUAGGAUGCAGAAGAGAUGGCAAGGACAUCAGGAUAGCAGGAAAACAACAGAAUGAAAGCAAGGCUGUUCAACACUUGGCCUUUCCUCUUCCCUCAUGAGUGCAUAGAGAGAAGGCAAAGGUCACUGGGGACUAUGCUAACAUCUCUGGAUAAUUCAGUCUUCACUGAUGGGUUUUAAUCACAGUUGUCCUGCACUGCCUGCACUCAGCUACACUUCAUUUGGGCAGUGUAAACCUCGCUGCACGCCUGCAGUGGUGUGGGGACAGCAAAGAAGGGCCAUCGAUUACUAUCCCAACUACAUCAUAUAUAGUGAAUCAUCUGAUACAAGCGGGCACUGGAAAUGCAGAAAGAAGGUAGGUUCUAAAGGAAAAGUGGAAUGGAUAGAAAAUACGGAGUAGAAAGGAGCAAGAUCUGAGCAGAGAAUGAACAUGCACAGAAGUACAGCUGAAAGCUACUGUCAAAAGGCAAAGCCUGUUCAGAGGUUUGAGACA